GCUCCAGAUCUUCCUCGGCCUCGGGCCUCCUUCAUGUUCAGGAUGGAGGCCAGAGAACAGUGAUCAUCACACACCCCAUCCGGCUUCCUGGGCCGGGCAUUUUCUCUGCGGCCAAGCGGUGUUGGGAUUGUAGCUGCUGGGAGCCCCCUCCUGCCGCCACCUGUCCUGCAGGAAGGGACUGACACGUUCCCACAUUCUUGCUCUGCACCUCCCCACUCUCUUCCCAUUCAGGAACAAGUUUCUCUUCCUUCCCCAUUGGAAAUCCUCCCCCGGAGGUCCAAAACACCUAUUUUAAGUGUGCCCUUCCUCAGCUCCUGGAGCACCCUUAGAAGUAUUGCCUACUUAUCCGGGCUGAGAAUCCUUCAUUUUUGAGUUGGCUUUUUUUUCACCCUUUGGAAGAUAAAAGUCCCUUUCCACCCUCUACUAACACUCUGCACCCAAGGCCUUAUCCUUUGGGGUCACCAGCUUCUUGGCCAUUUCUAUGUGAUUUCCCCCACCCAUCUGAGUUCCAGUUUCCUCUGGGCUCCAAUCUCCAGUCCCUGGCGGAUCUGGUCAGUCCCACCCCUAGGUGGGAGUGACCAGGAGGCUCUGGCCCAGGAUCCCCAACCCUGGAAGGCAGCUCCAAGGCAGGAAGAGAAUUGGGCAUUGGGUAGGAACCUGGCAGCUUAGGAGUCAGGGCUCCACUCACCCCACACCAAAAGAUGAAAAAGCGCAAAGAGCUCAAUGAAUUGAUUGGUUUGGCUGGGGACAGCCGGAGAAAGAAGCCCAAGAAAGGCCCAAGUAGUCACCGUCUGCUUCGCACUGAGCCUCCUGACUCAGACUCUGAGUCCAGCUCCAAAGAGGAAGAGGAAUUUGGUGUGGUUGGAAAUCGCUCUCACUUUGCCAAGGGAGACUAUUUACGAUGCUGCAAGAUCUGUUAUCCGCUCUGUGGUUUUGUUGUGUUGUGGCCUGUGUUGGCUCGGUGUGGAUGCAGGUUGCUCUCAAGGAGGAUCUGGAAGCCCUCAAGGAAAAAUUUCGAACAGUGGAGUCUAAUCAGGAAAGCUCAUUCCAAGAAAUCCCCAGACUUAAUGAAGAACUACUCAGCAAGCAAAAACAACUUGAGAAGAUUGAAUCUGGAGAGAUGGGUUUGAACAAAGUCUGGAUAAACAUCACAGAAAAGAAUAAGCAGAUUUCUCUGUUGACUUCUGCAGUGAACCACCUCAAAGCCAAUAUUAAGUCAGCUGCAGACUUGAUUAGCCUGCCUACCACUGUAGAGGGACUUCAGAAGAGCGUAGCUUCCAUUGGCAAUACUUUAAACAGUGUCCAUCUUGCUAUGGAAGCACUACAGAAAACUGUGGGUGAACACAAGAAAACGAUGGGAUUACUGCAGAGUGAUAUGAAUCAGCACUUCUUGAAGGAGACUCCUGGAAGCAACCAGAUCAUUCCAUCACCUUCAACCACAUCAGAACUUGACAAUAAAACCCAUAGUGAGAAUUUGAAACAGAUGGGUGAUAGAUCUCCCUCUCUGAAAAGAGCGUCUUUGGAUCAAGUCACCAACAAAACAGAUACGGUAAAAAUCCAAAGCAUAAAGAAAGAAGAUAGUUCAAAUUCUCAGGUAUCCAAGCUAAGAGAGAAACUCCAGAUGAUCAGUGCUUGUACAAACAAACCUGAGAGCAACAGGCCUCCAGUGACCGCCGAUGAAGAGCAAGUACAGAGUUUCACAUCAAAGCCAUCAGCAUUGCCAAAAUUUUCACAGUUUCUUGGAGAUCCAGUUGAGAAAGCUGCCCAACUAAGACCUGUCUCUCUACUAGGAGUUUCCAGCAUUGAAGAUCUUCAGGAUUUAUUCCACAAGACUGGCUAGGACAUGGAUGGGAAGCUGACCUACCAGGAAAUCUGGACCUCCCUAGGUUCUGCUAUGCCAGAACCAGAGAGCUUGAGAGCAUUUGAUUUUGAUGGAGAUGGGAGAUACUCAUUUCUGGAGCUAAGGGUAGCUUUAGGUAUCUAGCCUCAUCAGGCAUAUUUUAGAAAUGGACUGCCUAAUAUCUACUUACCUAACAACAAAACAACCCUUACUUACCCAUCAGUCCUCUAGUCCUCCAAACUACUGUAGCAGAUACUUUGCCACCUUUUAACUUGUUUGAAGAAGCUAUAUAAAAGUUAUUUUUUUA